ACCUGCCCGCCGUCCGACCGAGUGACCACGUCCGUGGAAGUGGAGAAGACACGGCCAGAGAUAUACCAGCUCUUUGGCUACGGAGACGUGGUAGGAAAGCCUCUGUCUGGGGGAGAAGCCAGGAUGAUGGGGCAGAAACGAGACGCUAAUCUUUAUUGUCAUUGUCCCGUACAGAACAAGAAAAUUGAAAAAUCUACGUAAGACAUUCAAAACCCAACAAGCCUGCUAUCCCAGCUAUCCCAGCCUGGUUAGCCCCCUAAAAACUCUGAUACCCCAUAAUUAAAUACAAUAUACUCCCACAGAGACUACCUUACACUGCGUUUAACACCAAAAUCGCAUUUGAGUAGAAACUGUUUCUCAGGCAGGUCUUUAUAACCCUGUACCUUCUUCCAGAAGGCAGAAGCUGAAAGAGAUCAUUUCCGGGGUGCGCACUAUCCUGCGCUAUCUCUGCAGCUUUCUUAUGGCGCCUGGAAGCAUAGAUUUGAUCCAAGGUGGGAAGAGUGCACCCAAUUAUUCUCUCCCGCAGUCUUGACAACCCUGGACAGCAUUGUUUUCCCUGGCUGUGCAGCUCCCAAACCGCACACACAGGCCACAAACAGCCCCUGACUUCGGAGCAGGAGCCCCCAUUCAGGGUCAGGGCUUGGCGGCACCUCCCUGGCGCUGCCCAGCGUUGCCCGUGUCCUUUGCCCCACAGCCUCCUCUGCACAAGGGGGAAAGCCUCUGAGCACAGCAGCUGCUGCUUCUGACUCUGGCACGGAAGAGGCCUUUGGCUGAGGAAGAGGCCUUUGCGCGGCUCCGAAGAGCCACAGGCUGGACCAGGCAGACCUCCUCAUCCUGGGGGGCAGGCUCCUCUAUACUCAGAACGUCCUCCUUACAUGGAACGGACUCCCUUGGAGAUUUGAAAGAUGGGUGGACAUCUGGCAGGGAUUCUUCAGUUGUGGUUCCUGCAUGGCUGGGGGUUGGGCUUGUUAAAGUUUGUGGGUCGAAACCUUUGACCCAGUGGGCAUAGCUGUCAACCGUCCCUUAUUUGGCAGGAAAGUCCCUUAUCCCAGCGCCGUGUCCUGCCUGCUGUCCCUUACUGAUGAUGUCCCUUCAAUUUCCCGGGCUUUCAAGGAAGCAGCUCCUCCCUCCCUCCCUCCCUGCCGGCCAGGAGGAGGGAGGCUCCAACUUUGUUGGCUUGGCUGCGUUGCUCACCCAAUAAGGAGUCCAAGAACGACUGGGGGGUGGUGCUUGCUUGCCUUGUGCCAAUCAAAUCGGCCGCCUUGCCUGGGGACCUCGCCUUGCUCAGCGCUUCCCAGCAGAGAGGUGACGGUGGUUUCCUUGCUGCAUCCCUUUGCCGGGUUGCUGCGCUGUGGAAACACCACUCUGAGGCUUCAUUUGGCUGCUGGCUGGGCUUUCUGCCUUUGGCUUGGAGGGGCUCAGAAGGCGAAUAUACCUGUGCUCUGAAAAUCCCUUAUUUUGGCUGCUGAUCCCUUAUUUUCGAGGCUGCUGGUCCCUUAUUUUCAAACCUGUAAGUUGACAGCUAUGCCAGUGGGUCAUGCAGGAACUGUGGCUUUGCCUGUGUCUGUGUGGUGUCUUCAAUAACUCAACUCGACACCAGUGCUUCUAAUCUAUCACUCUUUAUUUUGAAGCAUACAAAACAGAAAAGAAAACCUACAAAAAAGAAAACCUUUCUGUCUCUAACAGAACUGAAACUAUCUCGCUCCCAUUCUCAGACACUCUGCACUCGGAGAGAGCUCAGCCCACAGGAAAAUGCCCGGCUUAUAUGGGCAGUGCACCCAGUUAAUAAGAAGGCCUCCUGGGAGUGUUAACUCUCAACUGUCCAGAACCACAACAGGGCUGGAUGACCCCUGGGGGUCCCUUCCAACUCUCCCGUUCUAAGUUCUGCUUGUGAAGCACUGCCUGGGCUGAGCAGCAGGAAGGCAGUGCUGCCCUGGGGGUGGAGGACUGACCUCAGAACAUGAAAUGAGCUCUGCUGGACCAGCAUCCUGUUCGCCCACAGGGGCCAAAGACCCCUAAGACCCCAGGAGUCUAGACUGCCUCUGGAACUGGAGCCUCUGCCUGACAAGCCUAGCUGCUGGUCAGUGGGGAUCCCACCUAGUCCAGCCUCCUGUUCCUCACCAUGGCUGACCAGAUGCCCAUUACGGGAAACCCACAAGCAGGAUCUGAGCACGAGAGCAACUCCUCUCCCUUGCUGCCCUGGCAUUCAGAAGCAUCUCUGCAUCCUGGCAAGUGGCCACUGAGAGCCCCUUUCUCCCCCAUAAGUUUAGCCAAUCCUCUUUUAAAGCCGUCCCGGUAGGUGGCCAUCUUGUGGGAGGGAGUUCCACAGUCUAACACUGUGCUGCAGGAAGGAGUCCUUUCUGCAUCUUCCAACAUUCAUCUUCCUUGGGCGCCUGGGAAUUCUAGUCUUAUGAGAGAGAGAGACCAAGAGGAGAAGGGGACUCUGGCUUCUUCUCCCUCCAGGUCUUUGUCAGCAAGGACGUGGCCAAGGCGAGGGCUUCUACCCGGCCGCCGAAGCUGUCAAGGGGCUCCGCAGAUAUCUGAAGCCGGG